rnacentral:misc_RNA from 1 species
AAGUCGUAACAAGGUUUCCGUAGGUGAACCUGCGGAAGGAUCAUUACCUUUCAAUACUGAAAAGAGGGGUGCAAGUGGGUUUACUUGCUUGCACUCCUUGCUUCAAGUAUUAUCACCCUUGAUUUUUGCGUACUUAUGUUUCCUCGGCAGGCUUGCCUGCCGAUUGGACAACCUUAUAACCUUUUUAAUUUUCAAUCAGCGUCUGAAAUAAUUUAAUAAUUACAACUUUCAACAACGGAUCUCUUGGUUCUG